GGGGCAUUAGCUCAGUUGGUAGAGCGCUUCAAUGGCAUUGAAGAGGUCAGCGGUUCGAACCCGCUAUGCUCCA
rnacentral:tRNA from 2 species